AACGAACGCUGGCGGCAUGCCUAACACAUGCAAGUCGAACGAGACCUUCGGGUCUAGUGGCGCACGGGUGCGUAACGCGUGGGAACCUGCCCUUAGGUUCGGAAUAACUCCCCGAAAGGGGUGCUAAUACCGGAUAAUGUCUUCGGACCAAAGAUUUAUCGCCUUUGGAUGGGCCCGCGUUGGAUUAGCUAGUUGGUAGGGUAAAAGCCUACCAAGGCGACGAUCCAUAGCUGGUCUGGGAGGAUGAUCAGCCACACUGGGACUGAGACACGGCCCAGACUCCUACGGGAGGCAGCAGUGGGGAAUAUUGGACAAUGGGCGAAAGCCUGAUCCAGCAAUGCCGCGUGAGUGAUGAAGGCCUUAGGGUUGUAAAGCUCUUUUACCCGGGAUGAUAAUGACAGUACCGGGAGAAUAAGCGCCGGCUAACUCCGUG
rnacentral:rRNA from 1 species